rnacentral:lncRNA from 1 species
UGCUCAAAAAUGGCGUUUGAGCUCAUCACAAGAUUCCUCUCUUCGAGAUGAAGCUCCAGCACCAAACCACGUCAAAAUCGGACGCCAAAUUCGCAUUCACGCGCUUGUACGCACGCGUCUAGCAACCAGCUACUACUGACAUCAGCGUGACGUCAGCAUGACACUAGCAGCCAAGUUUGACCGUGCCGAAUAUUGACCAUUGGCCGUUGAUCGUUGAUCGAUAAGUUACUUUCUUAGUCCCUAGAGUUUUUGUUAAUUACAGUUUGGUUUUUAGAGUUUUUGUUAAUUAUAAUUUGGUCCCUAGAGUUACUGUUAAUUACAGAUUGGUCCUCAAAAGUGCUGUAAUUUACAUGUUAGUCCCUGAAGUUUCUGAUUUAAUCAAUUUUGAUCCCAGAAGUGUUUGAUUUUGACAUUUUAGCCCUUUCUGAGUUUUCUUGGCAUUCUAGAUUCAUCCGCGAGGUUGGUUUUCGGAUAUUUUGCUUCGAUUUGGGAGAAGUAAGGUGGCGGAGUAAUUUGGGAGCUCUGAUCACGCUUUUAGCUGCGGAUUACGCUGUGGAAACCAAGGAUGAAGGACAUGGAAGAAGAUGAACUAGAAGACGAUUGGGCAGAUUAGACAGUGCAUUAGACACAGGGUAUUCAAUCAUGUAGCACCAGUGAGGAGUGCUAAUGAGUUGUGGACCAAAUUGGAGAUGUGUCGGGUGAAGAUAUCUCGGAUCAAAGCCUUAUUGAUGAGGAGGUUUGUGAACUUGAAGUUUCAGAGAGGGUCUACAGUGGCGGAACAUACGAGCAAGUUCCAAAGAAAGAGGUCGAGGUCAGGAAAGAGGUAUUGACAGAGGACGGCUGAGGUCACAAUCCAGAGGCUGCACUUUUAAAUGCUUUUAUUGCGACUAGGAAGGGCAAGAGGAAUUGUCCAAGGCAUAAAGCACAAGAUCAGUUUUCGGAGGCAA